rnacentral:rRNA from 1 species
UACGGAGGGGGCGAGCGUUAUUCGGAAUCAUUGGGCGUAAAGGGCGCGUAGGCGGCUUCAUAAGUCUUGGGUGAAAGCCCUCGGCUCAACCGAGGAAUUGCCUUGGAUACUGUGAAGCUCGAGGCUGGAAGAGGGCAGUGGAAUUCCCGGUGUAGCGGCGAAAUGCGUAGAUAUCGGGAGGAACACCAGUGGCGAAGGCGGCUGCCUGGGCCAGUUCUGACGCUGAGGCGCGAAAGCGUGGGGAGCAAACAGG